GAUCCUUAUAGUUCCAGCUCUCCCCUCUGGGGCUCUUUAAAUAGGCAUAAGAUAGACAACCAAAAUAAACACGGCAAAUAAAAUUUCUAGAUUCAUGUUAAAUAGUAUAUGUUUUCUAUUUUUUCCACCUCUGAAUCACUCUAUAGCUUGAGUAGAAUGGCAUGGAGUCCCCCUUGGUGGGGAUCAAGAAGGACGCAUAUUCUAAAGCUGCAGAUCCAUCAAGACAAUCACUUACUGGUUCUACCGGGGACAACUGUCUUAUCCCAUAGUUUUUGGGUAUUGAAAGGGAUAGAUAUUGUUCCCACACACUGCAGAAUCAUGCUGGCCAAGAGGAAGCCUAAAAGAGAAGACUGCCAGAACCAAUUCUG